AUUGAACGCUGGCGGCAGGCCUAACAAAUGCAAGUCGAGCGGAGCGGCGGAAGGGUGAGUACGGCCUAGGAAUCUGCCUGGUAGUGGGGGAUAACGACCGGAAACGGGCGCUAAUACCGCAUACUAACAGAUGAGACAAGGGAGGCUGAGCUAGUUGGUGGGGUAAAGGGCUACAAAGGCGACGAGCCGUAACUGGUAUGAGAGGAGUAUCAGUAACACUGGAACGAAGACACGGUCCAGACUCCGACGGGAGGCAGCAGUGGUGAAUAUUGGACAAUGGGCGAAAGCCUGAUCCAUCCAUGCCGCGUGUGUGAAGAAGGUCUUCGGAUUGUAAAGCACUUUAAGUUGGGAGGCGUUACCAACAGAAUAAGCACCGGCUAACUUCGUGCCAGCCGCCGCGGUAAUUC
rnacentral:rRNA from 1 species